AAAUGGGCUUCCAUAGUAACUAACCAGAAAGGAAACCAGUGAAUUGAUGUGUGAAUCAGAAGAAGAAUGCGGCUAUACAGCGACUGUAAAAAAGCGGAAAAUCAAGAAUACACUAUGCCUGCCAUAAAGAGAAGCCAUGUUGCUGCUUCAAAGGACAAACAUCCUGUGAUGUUCCUUGGCCGCAUGCACCUGCUACUUGCAAUGAAAAUAUGAGGUCUUUGUCUUGGGCACUGUGCCCUCCUGGCAUGUUUGCUGAGCUGACGGAAAUCUGUCCAAGUAGCCAUCAGCUGCAAAGAGAGCAGGAGCUGCUUCCACAAACAUGGGCCAUUUAUUAUUUAUUUUGUUAUAUUUAUCCUGACAGCAAUCAGUUUAAAGAGCCUGAUACGUCUUGAUCUCAACCUUUACACUUUACUAAUAAAUCUUUAAUUGAAUUAUACAUACUAUAUUUCUUCAAAAAGUAUAAUCUUUUUGCUUAUUUUUAUAAUUUACCCAUUUGUAUUAAUUUACUCUUAAUUUAUUUUAGCUUAGUUUAGUUGAUUUUUAGUGUUUUGUUUAAUUCUACAGUACGUGUACUAGGAGCAAACACGCUGCACCAUAUUCUAUGUAUGCAUGCAUAAUUGGUUAAUGAAACCUGAUUUGG